UCCAUUCGCAUCGCGCCUGCCAUUCCGCAUUUUUCCUCUCCACUCACAGCGGACCGGAAAAUCUCUCCGGCGGCGCCGCCGCCGCCGCCGCCGGCGAAGCGCCAUCCUCGCCGGUCUCUUCUCCUCUUCACUUCCUCCGUGCCUUCACCUGUCUCGCCGGGGCGCCGCAUCCCCUCCACCGAAGCACCAUCCCAUUCGCACCCUGUCUCCAUCGGGAAUCAAUCUCUCCGCCGCCGCCGCCGCCGCCAUGCUCCGCCUCCGUGGCUGCAUCCUCGUGCGGCUCCUCUCUUCUCCCGCCACCUCUCAGGGCCCCCCUCUCCACCGCCCCCUCUCCGCGGCCGCCGUUUCCCCAAACCCUAGCUUCGUCGCCGACGACUACCUCGUCUCCACCUGCGGCCUCACCCGAGCCCAGGCACUCAAGGCCUCCGCCAAGCUCUCCCACCUCAAGUCCCCCGCCAAGCCCGACGCCGUCCUCGCCUUCCUCGCUGGCCUCGGCCUCUCCGCCGGCGAUGUCGCCGCCGUCGUCGCCAAGGACCCGCUGUUCCUCUGCGCCAGCGUGGAGAAAACCCUGGGCCCCGUCGCAAUUGAGCUCGCCGGCCUCGGCCUGUCGCAUUCCGAGAUCGCGCGCCUCAUCCCGCUCUCCUUCGUCCACUUCCGCUCCAGGUCCAUUGUUUCCAAGCUGCGGUACUACCUGCCCCUCUUAGGCUCCUCGGAGAACCUCUUCCGGGUGCUCAAGAAAGGCUACCUCGCCGGUGCUGACAUCGAGGGGACGGUCAAGCCCAAUGUUGCGCUCUUACGACAGUGCGGGCUAGAUGAUUGCGAUAUCACCAAGCUGUCCCUCGCUAAGGGCGGAGUCCUGAGCAGCAAGCCAGAGCGCGUCCGGGUGAUGGUGGCAUGCGCCGAAGGCCUUGGCGUACCUCGUGGCUCGGGGAUGUUCAGGCACGCGUUGGAUGCCGUCGGAUUCCUCGGUGAGGAGAAGAUCGCCGCCAAAGUGGCCUACUUGAAGAAGACGUUCAGGUGGUCAGACGCUGAGGUGAGCAUUGCUCUGCGUAUGGCUCCGUGUGUGCUGAGGAAGUCAAAGGAAUUACUGCAGCGCAGGUCUGAUUUCCUCAUCUCUGAGGUGGGGUUGGAACCGUCCUACAUUGCUGAACGGUCAAUAAUUAUCAAUUACAAGCUGGAGGGCCGGAUGAAACCCAGGUACUACGUUGUAAAGUUUCUCAUGGAAAAUGGAUUGCUCAAGUGCAACCCAGGCUACUACUAUACCGCUUUCAAGGUGAGAGAGAAGGUAUUCGUGGAGAAGUUCAUUUCCCCUCACACGGAAGUUGCGCCGCACCUCGCUGAAGACUAUGCAACAGCUUGUGAAGGGGUAGUGCCGGCUAGAUUCAGAUUUACAUGAACCAAGGACUGGGUUCUCACCAUGCCUGCGAAGCUGCUUGAAAGGUGACAUGAGAGCUGAGAUAAACCUGAAUGAAAGAUCCCCAACAAGGUGAACAGUUCCACUGGCAGCCUGCUUCGAGGACAAGUUUUUGUAAGGAGAACCGUGGAUCUGGACACAGGGUGCGCAGUUUGCUUCAACAGAGGAUGGCUGCCACAUAUUCCUCAGAUGUGGGAUGAUGUCGGAGCUACCGCAGCCUGAAAGACAUCCCUGCUUUAUCUCUUUGAUGAAAGCGCAUUAUCAGGGAAGGGGUUAAUUGAAGUGGCGUGGAAGCUUUGACCAUGAACCGCGACCGGAGAUCUGGCUCCUGCUCUGGGUUUGUUGCAAGCACAAGAAACAAGUUGAAUGCCAAAGGAAAGGGAACUGGAGAAGCUCGGAUGAUGUUCGCCUGCCAUCAGGUCUGAUGGCUGCUAACUUGCUGCAAGGAAGACGCACUCUGGGCUCUAGUGUGUGCGUGUGUACGUUCAAUACUCUAAUUUGGAUCGAUCGCUAUGGGCAAUGGUCAUGCCAGCUUUAGUUUGGUGUGCAGAUAGUAAUAAUCUUCUGCAACUUAUUACCCACAACCUGAUACCAGUCUUCCUUGUACCUUCCCACUGUUUUACAUUGAUUAUUUUUGCCCUUGCAUCACUUACUUGAUAACCUGUUGGCACGUUGCACUUGUCUACUGCACAUAUAUAUAGCGGAGAGAGUAUCAAGUGAGAAGAGAGGAGGAAUAGCUUGCAAUGUGAAUUGACGGCGAAUUUAAAUCUGGACAGUCAGAAUACCGGCAGGAUGGGGCUAUGGCAUUGGCAGGUCACGAAGAAACAAAAGUAUUUUACAAUUUUUUUGCAG